GUAACUGAGCUAGCGGCGGACGGGUGAGUAAAGCUUAGGAAUCUGCCUAUUAGUGGGGGACAACAUUCCGAAAGGGAUGCUAAUACCGCAUACGUCCUACGGGAGAAAGCAGGGGAUCACUUGUAACCUUGCGCUAAUAGAUGAGCCUAAGUCGGAUUAGCUAGUUGGUGGGGUAAAGGCCUACCAAGGCGACGAUCUGUAGCGGGUCUGAGAGGAUGAUCCGCCACACUGGGACUGAGACACGGCCCAGACUCCUACGGGAGGCAGCAGUGGGGAAUAUUGGACAAUGGGGGGAACCCUGAUCCAGCCAUGCCGCGUGUGUGAAGAAGGCCUUUUGGUUGUAAAGCACUUUAAGCGAGGAGGAGGCUUGCCUGGUUAAUACCUGGGAUAAGUGGACGUUACUCGCAGGAUAAGCACCGGCUAACUCUGUGCCAGCAGCUGCGGUAAUACAGAGGGUGCGAGCGUUAAUCGGAUUUACUGGGCGUAAAGCGCGCGUAGGUGGUUAAUUAAGUCAAAUGUGAAAUCCCCGAGCUUAACUUGGGAAUUGCAUUCGAUACUGGUUAGCUAGAGUAUGGGAGAGGAUGGUAGAAUUCCAGGUGUAGCGGUGAAAUGCGUAAAGAUCUGGAGGAAUACCGAUGGCGAAGGCAGCCAUC
rnacentral:rRNA from 1 species